rnacentral:misc_RNA from 1 species
AAAAGGAGAGAAGUAAUGUGAAUUGCAGAAUUCAGUGAAUCAUCGAAUCUUUGAACGCACAUUGCGCCCGCCAGUAUUCUGGCGGGCAUGCCUGUUCGAGCGUCAUUUCAACCCUCAAGCCCCCCGGGUUUGGUGUUGGGGAUCGGGCUGCGGUUCUGCCGCGUCCCGGCCCCGAAAUCUAGUGGCGGUCUCGCUGCAGCCUCCAUUGCGUAGUAGCUAACACCUCGCAACUGGAACGCGGCGCGGCCAAGCCGUUAAACCCCCCAACUUCUGAAUGUUGACCUCGGAUCAGGUAGGAAUACCCGCUGAACUUAAGC